CACGGGGGUUGCAAGCGUUGUCCGGAAUUACUAGGCGUAAAGGGCAGGUAGGCGGAUAUAUAAGUUUUGUGUUAAAGGCAUCGGCUUAACCGGUGUAAGGCAUAGGAUACUGUAUAUCUGGAAUGCGGUUGAGGAAGACAGAAUUCCUGGUGUAGCGGUGGAAUGCGCAGAGAUCAGGAGGAAUACCAAAGGCGAAGGCAGUCUUCUAAGCCGAUAUUGACGCUAAACUGCGAAGGUGUGGGUAUCAAACAGGAUUAGAUACCCUGGUAGUCCACACAGUAAACGAUAAUCACUAGGUGUUGGGUUCGUAGAGGAUUCAGUGCCGUAGCUAACGCGAUAAGUGAUUCGCCUGGGGAGUACGAUCGCAAGGUUGAA
rnacentral:rRNA from 1 species